AUACGGAGGGUGCAAGCGUUAUCCGGAAUCAUUGGGUUUAAAGGGUCCGCAGGCGGAUUAAUAAGUCAGUGGUGAAAUCCUCUCGCUCAACGAGAGAACUGCCAUUGAAACUGUUAGUCUUGAAUUCGGUCGAAGUAGGCGGAAUGUGUCAUGUAGCGGUGAAGUGCAUAGAUAUGACACAGAACACCGAUAGCGAAGGCAGCUUACUAGACCUGGAUUGACGCUCAUGGACGAAAGCGUGGGGAGCGAACAGGAUUAGAAACCCUAGUAGUCC
rnacentral:rRNA from 1 species